rnacentral:rRNA from 1 species
CUACGGGAUGCAGCAGUGAGGAAUAUUGCACAAUGGGGGGAACCCUGAUGCAGCAACGCCGCGUGGAGGAUGACGCAUUUCGGUGUGUAAACUCCUUUUAUAUGUCAAGAAAAUGACGGUAGCAUAUGAAUAAGCACCGGCUAACUCCGUGCGCAGCAGCCGCGGUAAUACGGAGGGUGCAAGCGUUACUCGGAAUCACUGGGCGGAAAGGACGCGUAGGCGGGUUGGAAAGUCAGGUGUGAAAUCCUACAGCUUAACUGUAGAACUGCACUUGAAACUUCUAAUCUAGAGUAUGGGAGGGGGAGAUGGAAUUAGUGGUGUAGGGGUAAAAUCCGUAGAUAUCACUAGGAAUACCUAAAGCGAAGGCGAUCUCCUGGAACAUUACUGACGCUAAGGCGUGAAAGCGUGGGGAGCAAACAGGAUUAGAUACCCCAGUAGUC